UCAGGUUCUCCAUGUGAACCCCUGGUAGCGUAUGCUACUGCGUCUUCCAUAUGAGUCUCUUCUUCCCUUACACUAUAUGAUGCGUUAUUUUAGGAAAUAAACUCAUGCAAUAUCCCUUCAGCGGAUACCACAAACACCAUCUUAUCUUCAACAACCGGUGCUUCCACGACCAUGGGGUUGAUUGUAGCAAUGGUAAAGUCUC
rnacentral:lncRNA from 1 species